GGAUGAGCCCGCGGCCUAUCAGCUUGUUGGUGAGGUAAUGGCUCACCAAGGCGACGACGGGUAGCCGGCCUGAGAGGGCGACCGGCCACACUGGGACUGAGACACGGCCCAGACUCCUACGGGAGGCAGCAGUGGGGAAUAUUGCACAAUGGGCGAAAGCCUGAUGCAGCAACGCCGCGUGAGGGAUGACGGCCUUCGGGUUGUAAACCUCUUUUAGUAGGGAAGAAGCGAAAGUGACGGCACCUGCAGAAAAAGCACCGGCUAACUACGUGCCAGCAGCCGCGGUAAUACGUAGGGUGCAAGCGUUGUCCGGAAUUAUUGGGCGUAAAGAGCUCGUAGGCGGUUUGUCGCGUCUGCUGUGAAAUCUGGGGGCUCAACCCCCAGCCUGCAGUGGGUACGGGCAGACUAGAGUGCGGUAGGGGAGAUUGGAAUUCCUGGUGUAGCGGUGGAAUGCGCAGAUAUCAGGAGGAACACCGAUGGCGAAGGCAGAUCUCUGGGCCGUAACUGACGCUGAGGAGCGAAAGCAUGGGGAGCGAACAGGAUUAGAUACCCUGGUAGUCCAUGCCGUAAACGUUGGGAACUAGAUGUGGGGACCAUUCCACGGUCUCCGUGUCGCAGCUAACGCAUUAAGUUCCCCGCCUGGGGAGUACGG
rnacentral:rRNA from 1 species